GAUGAAGAACGUAGCGAAAUGCGAUAAGUAAUGUGAAUUGCAGAAUUCAGUGAAUCAUCGAAUCUUUGAACGCACAUUGCGCCCGCCAGUAUUCUGGCGAGCAUGCCUGUUCGAGCGUCAUUACAACCCUCAGGCCCCCGGGCCUGGCGUUGGGGAUCGGCGGAGCCCCCCGUGGGCACACGCCGUCCCCCAAAUGCAGUGGCGGUCCCGCCGCAGCUUCCAUCGCGUAGUAGCUAACACCUCGCGACUGGAGAGCGGCGCGGCCACGCCGUAAAACACCCAACUCUUCUGAAGUUGACCUCGAAUCAGGUAGGAAUACCCGCUGAACUUAAGCAUAUCAAUAAGCGGAGGA
rnacentral:misc_RNA from 1 species